UCGCCGUCCCCCUGGCCUCCUCCAGCCCCGGCAAAGGAGGUCGUGUACAACCUCAAUAUCUCUCAUCUAAUAUUCCAUGCAUUUGUGAGGGCUAGAAAAAGCUGUGUUUUACCUUUAGCAUAACUGUAGCCAUUUUGCUUCUGUAAUACUGCUAAAAGCUGAUUAGGAAAUAAAUGAUAGUAAGAAAUUGCAAGCAAAUCUCUUUUUGGGUGUUGUAAGCAUUUCUGAGUUCCAGACAGGACAGGAAGCUAACACUUGAGAAAUGCUUGAGCUUAGAAACCGCAAGCGGAAAGACAGGAAGCCACCUCUUGAUAUAUGUGACACCAUGUCUGGAACAACAACUUAUUUGAAUAUAGCCAAUAGCAUUGAUUCUACAGAAAAGGGGAACUGAGGGAGGGGGCUUGUUGCUUGUCACUGCUUGUUGUUAGAGUAUAAAAUUGCUUGUAACUUCUUCUGCGGGUGUGCCACUUCUUGGGGUGAGCACCCAGUAGCUUUGCUUGGCCAAAUAAAGAUACUGACCAGAAUCUCCUUCUUGUCUUUUAUUAAUUGGCAUAAUCAAAUAAAGGGCAAGAGUCGGGCCUUACCCAGACUAGCUGGGAGGGUGCAAGCCUUCCCUGGUAGGCGGGGCUUAUUAUAUGGUGCAUUGGCCGGGAAUAGAAGGCUAAAUUAAGACUAGCUGCUAUUGCAGUGAGACGGCCUUCAGACUGGCACGGGCGAAAACCGGGAACGGCUUUUGUGUUAAUUCUCAGCGCGCACCAGCCAUAUUGAGCUGGGAGAUCACUCUCAAGCCGCCUCUGGCAGACACCCAAAGUGCCACGAACGAAUGUCAGGAGAUUCAUAGGGAACAAGGAGGUUGAUGCUGCGAUUUGGACUAGAGCUUGGAGGGGUAAGUACUAAAUUGCAACUUGGGAAAAAGGGGGGAGGUGUGUGAAUUUUGUGACCCUGUGUGCAAGAGAUUUCCAUACGGAAGCGUGAAAGAGGAGGGCCAGUACCGCAGUUCUGUCCCUUCGCGAGAAGGCCAGUCGGGAAAAGCCCGAGCGCAAGUGUGUGUGAAUGUGAAAAGGGUCCAUACUUAGGAGGUUGGCCUGGGAAUAGCUGUUCGACCGGGGGGUGAGAGGCCUGACCCCGUUUCUGACCCCACCUGUCCACCACAGCCGGUACGCUUAGGGGGGGACGAAGUGCCCAGAAACCAAGCCCGGGGAGGGGACGGAGUACGUCCCAGAACCCCAGCCCGGUGUUAGUGGAGAUAAGGGAGGCAGAGGCGAAAAAACCCGUUAGGCUAUUCUUGCACGGUGGGCUGAUCAGGGUUUUAGGUUGGUAAGGUUGGAUCAGCAUUAAGGAAACUGGAAAUUGGGAAGUUAGUGAGAAUAGGGACAAGGGUUAAUAGUUAGGGGAGAUAGGGAACAAUAGGGAAAUAAUUAGAACACCCCCUUCAGCACCUCCUAGAUAAAUUUAACUAUAUUAAAAGAAUUAUAAAAAGCUCAUGAGCGUUAAUUAGUAAAUUUAUGGUCUGACCACCCACAUCUUGGUCAGAAUUUGCCUCGUUGGCCACUAAGAAACUGCCAUCAACGUGUGAGUAAAUUGGCUCGCAAAGUUAUCAAGUUUAAAAGCCUUAAAGAUGCAAGACCAGAGAGUCAGGGAUGAGGAUGGUUUUCCACCGCCCCAUAUGAAUGCCCCAUCCCACAUUCAACCAAAUCUACCUCAGCGGGCACCCUUUUUCUAUUUUUCUGCCCCAUGAUUUCCAUGGGCACCACCACCCCGACUUCCCACUCCCAAUAUGAGACCAGUCCCGGGGAGACUGUCAGGGAGCCUGCCAUCUGGCCCGUCAAGGGGAUAUGCUCCACCUGGACCUAGAGCGGGACCGUCUUCUCCCAGUGCCCCUAGUUUUAGAAGUGGGAGUGUUGGCUCCGACUUGGGAGGGGAUAGGAGCUCAACUCCUGGGGAAUCAGCUAGGGAUACGAGAAGGUGCCCACCCCAGAGACCCAUGGCCACGGGCACACCAAGGAGUCAGUUGGGAACAAUGGUUGUGGGGGAUGGAUUGCUCCUAGUCCCUUUCCACCUUGGACCUUUAAAACCGGAGACAAGAACUUCUGCCCUAUUGGCAUCAGCCGUGCAGCUGACUAUUGGCCAACCAGGCCAUGUCCCGGACAGGGGAAGAAAGGGACGAGGGCCACGGGGAAGUCGCUGUUUCUGCUGUGGCCGGACAGGCCACUGGAAGAGGGAAUGUCCUGACCUUAAGGAGGGAGAGGGUGCUGUCUCUCCACCACAGGCAGAGAAAAGCGGGGAACAACCAAAUCCCCAAUCAAAAAUGGAACCCAUUGCUGUUCCAAGCCUUUCUUUGUGGACGGAUGGGACAUCCUUUUUCUUUAAUGGACAGAAAUAUAUGGGAUAUGGAGUGAAGACUGAAGAGCACUUGGUGUUCUUAACAAGAAUAUUCCUACCAUGCUCUACUCCAGAGACCGAACCAUUGGGAAGGGAGAAAGACAUGAAAUAAGACAAUGGCCCUGAUGCCAGAGAAAAUCAGCUGGCAGAAAUGGGUGCUUAAUAAGCAGCCUAAAUAAAAAGGGAGGUCUGUGAAUAGUUGAGCAUUCAAUGGCUUUUGUACUCUGCAUACCAUUUAGAAAACCAGGAAUAGAUGACAUCUAAAAGUGCUUUUACAUAUAUAUAUAUUUUUAUGAACUCGAGUUAGAGGCCCUUUUUGGCCCCAAGAAUAACAUCUUUUUGCAAUUGCUUUUAUUAUAUACCGGUAAAAUUCUAAUAAAACACUACAUGUGUGGGCCCAGCAAGGAAACUCCCCUUAUACCAUCAUGCUCCAAGCACACGCUAUGGAGAAAGGAGGGGGGGAAGGAAAGAGCCCCCUGAGCCUGUGAGAGAGGCUAAGGGAGAUUUUUGGGGAAGAAAACAAUGCUGCCUGUGCUUUCUCUAAGCUCAAAGCAGCUAACUUCCUGUCUGUUUCUGUGUGUGUUAAUCUUGGCUCAAAGCCAAUACUGUUGCUGCUUUUGUCGUAUGAGCUAUUGUCCUGUUUGUGUGUAUGUGUGUUCAACUUGGCUGAGAGCCAACACAGUAUUGCUGCUGUUGCUGCUACUGUUCAAUUGUACCUGUUGCAGCAAAAGCCAAGAAUAGGCUUCUCCAAAUGGAGGCUGUUUCUUGUUCUCUUUUUUCCUUUCUCUCUUUUUCUUGUCCCAGCUGUAGCGUUACGGUUGGGGGAAGGAAAUGAGGAAGUGGAGUUAGAGGGAAGCCAGCUUAACUGCCGCUCCUAAAAGUUGUACAACCAGCCUAAAGUUUUGCUGCCACAUGAAAUGAUGGAUAGUAACAUCUGAGUGUGUCCUCCAGAUUCGGAGAAAGCUUCCUUGCACCUGCAGGAACUCACUUGCUGGCUGCAGGCUUUUUUUCCUUUUGUCUUUGUGAUCAGGCUGAAAAGACUAAGAGUCUCCUCCAGGUUGUCCAGCGGAGCCAGCCAGGAACUUUUUUCAUUCUCAAGCAACUUCUGCAUAUUUUUAAAGGCAAACAGGCUCUUCUGCCUCUCAUCUCAUAUUUUUGUCAGACACCAGUUUUGCUAGGUCAGGAGGCUAAAAGAUGGAAACAGAAACAUCACAAUAAAAUACAUGUGACCUAAAUGGAAGUUCCAAAGCCAGAUGUCACUGACGAAUCAUCCCUGUAUGGAGAAUGAAGUCAGGAAUGCUGGAAUAAAGAUUGUGAGCCCUGAUGAAGGUCUGUAAGUAUGAUUGUCAACCAAGCGUUGUGCAAGCAGUUAGAGUGUGGGAAUAGGACCGAAGAAACUGAGUCCAAAACCCCAUUCAGCUGUGAUAUUUGCUGGGUGACACAGAGCCUGCCACUCAAAAGGUUUGACCUACCUCACGGGGUUGUUGUUAUACAAGGGAAAAUGGGAUACGGAAACCAUAUGGAAACGGGACUUUGUGAGCAGUCAUGCCCAGAGAGGGUUCUGGUGAAACUCAAACGCUGAACUUAUAUGCUACAGCCUUUUGAUUGAUAAGACUAUAUUGAAUCUGAAAAAGUUUAAUGCCUCCUCAACACCUAAAAACUCAUGAGAAGAGUGUAUGCAGAAAAAUGUGAAUGCCUUUUUCCUUUUUGAUCUUGUUGUUUGCUUUUUGCCUAGGAACACCUUUUGUUUGAAGACAUUGUUUUUUGUUUUUGGCUUCGGGAGAAGGGCAAAGACCCGGGGCAAGCAGGGAAACAAAAGCAUAAAUUGGGAAGAUUAACAUGCCAAAGGACCAAAUUGAAAAUGGCCUCAGGAUUUAUCUAUCUUUUGUAUUACUUGUCUUGAAAACUUUACCCUUUCUGUUUUGGCUAGUAUUGACACCCAGGGACUUGAUUUUAGGAUGCCUUCUCUAUGGGGGGGGAGGGAGAAUAUUGGCAACUCACUUGUCUGUUUUCUCUCAAGUAAACAGGGUUUUGUAACCAACAGUGCCUUGAAUUAUCUUUCCAAGAAGGGUUUUCCUCAGAUGACAGAAGUAUCCUGCAUAUAAUCAUUAGACUGUGGUCCCAAAGGAACCUCCAAAAGGACAUCAACAGUGACCCAGGAGAUUAGCUGCCAGCGACAACCAUCCAAUGGCAACAGAUUGUUCACCUGCUAAUUUGUCUUGUGUUGAAUAAAUUCUGGGCAUAUAAAGGAGAUUCAUGAAGCCUACAGCUUCAGAAUCUUGAAAAUAAAAAGGGAGGAAUGUGAGGGCUAGAAAAAGCUGUGUUUUACCUUUAGCAUAACUGUAGCCAUUUUGCUUCUGUAAUACUGCUAAAAGCUGAUUAGGAAAUAAAUGAUAGUAAGAAAUUGCAAGCAAAUCUCUUUUUGGGUGUUGUAAGCAUUUCUGAGUUCCAGACAGGACAGGAAGCUAACACUUGAGAAAUGCUUGAGCUUAGAAACCGCAAGCGGAAAGACAGGAAGCCACCUCUUGAUAUAUGUGACACCAUGUCUGGAACAACAACUUAUUUGAAUAUAGCCAAUAGCAUUGAUUCUACAGAAAAGGGGAACUGAGGGAGGGGGCUUGUUGCUUGUCACUGCUUGUUGUUAGAGUAUAAAAUUGCUUGUAACUUCUUCUGCGGGUGUGCCACUUCUUGGGGUGAGCACCCAGUAGCUUUGCUUGGCCAAAUAAAGAUACUGACCAGAA